CAAUCCAUGAGUAAAGUGGCGACCGGGUGAGUAACACGUGACUAACCUACCUUCGAGUGGGGGAUAACCUCGGGAAACCGAGGCUAAUACCGCAUAACAUCGAGAGAUCAAAGGAGCAAUUCGCUUGAAGAGGGGGUCGCGGCUGAUUAGCUAGUUGGCGGGGUAACGGCCCACCAAGGCGAAGAUCGGUAGCCGGCCUGAGAGGGCGCACGGCCACACUGGAACUGAAACACGGUCCAG
rnacentral:rRNA from 1 species